ACGUAGGGUGCGAGCGUUGUCCGGAAUUACUGGGCGUAAAGAGCUCGUAGGCGGUUUGUCGCGUCGUCUGUGAAAUCCUCCAGCUUAACUGGGGGCGUGCAGGCGAUACGGGCAGACUUGAGUACUACAGGGGAGACUGGAAUUCCUGGUGUAGCGGUGAAAUGCGCAGAUAUCAGGAGGAACACCGGUGGCGAAGGCGGGUCUCUGGGUAGUAACUGACGCUGAGGAGCGAAAGCAUGGGUAGCGAACAGGA
rnacentral:rRNA from 1 species